GUUAUAUGGUCAAGUGAAGAAGCGCAUACGGUGGAUGCCUUGGCAGUCAGAGGCGAUGAAAGACGUGGUAGCCUGCGAAAAGCUUCGGGGAGUCGGCAAACAGACUUUGAUCCGGAGAUGUCUGAAUGGGGGAACCCAGCCAUCAUAAGAUGGUUAUCUUGUACUGAAUACAUAGGUGCAAGAGGCGAACCAGGGGAACUGAAACAUCUAAGUACCCUGAGGAAAAGAAAUCAACCGAGAUUCCCUUAGUAGUGGCGAGCGAACGGGGACUAGCCCUUAAGUGGCUUUGAGAUUAGCGGAACGCUCUGGAAAGGGCGGCCAUAGUGGGUGAUAGCCCUGUACGCGAAAAUCUCUUAGUCAUGAAAUCGAGUAGGACGGGGCACGAGAAACCUUGUCUGAAUAUGGGGGGACCAUCCUCCAAGGCUAAAUACUACUGACUGACCGAUAGUGAACUAGUACCGUGAGGGAAAGGCGAAAAGAACCCCGGAGAGGGGAGUGAAAUAGAUCCUGAAACCGUAUGCGUACAAGCAGUGGGAGCCCACUUUGUUGGGUGACUGCGUACCUUUUGUAUAAUGGGUCAGCGACUUAUUUUCAGUGGCGAGCUUAACCGAAUAGGGGAGGCGUAGCGAAAGCGAGUCUUAAUAGGGCGUCUAGUCGCUGGGAAUAGACCCGAAACCGGGCGAUCUAUCCAUGGGCAGGUUGAAGGUUGGGUAACACUAACUGGAGGACCGAACCGACUACCGUUGAAAAGUUAGCGGAUGACCUGUGGAUCGGAGUGAAAGGCUAAUCAAGCUCGGAGAUAGCUGGUUCUCCUCGAAAGCUAUUUAGGUAGCGCCUCAUGUAUCACUGUAGGGGGUAGAGCACUGUUUCGGCUAGGGGGUCAUCCCGACUUACCAAACCGAUGCAAACUCCGAAUACCUACAAGUGCCGAGCAUGGGAGACACACGGCGGGUGCUAACGUCCGUCGUGAAAAGGGAAACAACCCAGACCGUCAGCUAAGGUCCCAAAGUCAUGGUUAAGUGGGAAACGAUGUGGGAAGGCUUAGACAGCUAGGAGGUUGGCUUAGAAGCAGCCACCCUUUAAAGAAAGCGUAAUAGCUCACUAGUCGAGUCGGCCUGCGCGGAAGAUGUAACGGGGCUCAAACCAUGCACCGAAGCUACGGGUAUCACUUAGGUGAUGCGGUAGAGGAGCGUUCUGUAAGCCUGUGAAGGUGAGUUGAGAAGCUUGCUGGAGGUAUCAGAAGUGCGAAUGCUGACAUGAGUAACGACAAUGGGUGUGAAAAACACCCACGCCGAAAGACCAAGGUUUCCUGCGCAACGUUAAUCGACGCAGGGUUAGUCGGUCCCUAAGGCGAGGCUGAAAAGCGUAGUCGAUGGAAAACAGGUUAAUAUUCCUGUACUUCUGGUUAUUGCGAUGGAGGGACGGAGAAGGCUAGGCCAGCUUGGCGUUGGUUGUCCAAGUUUAAGGUGGUAGGCUGGAAUCUUAGGUAAAUCCGGGAUUCUAAGGCCGAGAGCUGAUGACGAGUUGCCAUUAGGCGACGAAGUGGUUGAUGCCAUGCUUCCAAGAAAAGCUUCUAAGCUUCAGGUAACCAGGAACCGUACCCCAAACCGACACAGGUGGUUGGGUAGAGAAUACCAAGGCGCUUGAGAGAACUCGGGUGAAGGAACUAGGCAAAAUGGCACCGUAACUUCGGGAGAAGGUGCGCCGGUGAGGGUGAAGGACUUGCUCCGUAAGCCCAUGCCGGUCGAAGAUACCAGGCCGCUGCGACUGUUUAUUAAAAACACAGCACUCUGCAAACACGAAAGUGGACGUAUAGGGUGUGACGCCUGCCCGGUGCCGGAAGGUUAAUUGAUGGGGUUAGCUAACGCGAAGCUCUUGAUCGAAGCCCCGGUAAACGGCGGCCGUAACUAUAACGGUCCUAAGGUAGCGAAAUUCCUUGUCGGGUAAGUUCCGACCUGCACGAAUGGCGUAACGAUGGCGGCGCUGUCUCCACCCGAGACUCAGUGAAAUUGAAAUCGCUGUGAAGAUGCAGUGUAUCCGCGGCUAGACGGAAAGACCCCGUGAACCUUUACUAUAGCUUUGCACUGGACUUUGAAUUUGCUUGUGUAGGAUAGGUGGGAGGCUUUGAAGCGUGGACGCCAGUUCGCGUGGAGCCAACCUUGAAAUACCACCCUGGCAACUUUGAGGUUCUAACUCAGGUCCGUUAUCCGGAUCGAGGACAGUGUAUGGUGGGUAGUUUGACUGGGGCGGUCUCCUCCUAAAGAGUAACGGAGGAGUACGAAGGUGCGCUCAGACCGGUCGGAAAUCGGUCGUAGAGUAUAAAGGCAAAAGCGCGCUUGACUGCGAGACAGACACGUCGAGCAGGUACGAAAGUAGGUCUUAGUGAUCCGGUGGUUCUGUAUGGAAGGGCCAUCGCUCAACGGAUAAAAGGUACUCCGGGGAUAACAGGCUGAUACCGCCCAAGAGUUCAUAUCGACGGCGGUGUUUGGCACCUCGAUGUCGGCUCAUCACAUCCUGGGGCUGAAGCCGGUCCCAAGGGUAUGGCUGUUCGCCAUUUAAAGUGGUACGCGAGCUGGGUUUAGAACGUCGUGAGACAGUUCGGUCCCUAUCUGCCGUGGACGUUUGAGAUUUGAGAGGGGCUGCUCCUAGUACGAGAGGACCGGAGUGGACGAACCUCUGGUGUUCCGGUUGUCACGCCAGUGGCAUUGCCGGGUAGCUAUGUUCGGGAAAGAUAACCGCUGAAAGCAUCUAAGCGGGAAACUUGCCUCAAGAUGAGAUCUCACUGGAACCUUGAGUUCCCUAAAGGGCCGUCGAAGACUACGACGUUGAUAGGUUGGGUGUGUAAGCGCUGUGAGGCGUUGAGCUAACCAAUA
rnacentral:rRNA from 1 species